rnacentral:lncRNA from 1 species
ACGUCUCAACAUUUUACGUAAUCAAUAACUUCUCAGAAUUUUAAAAUAAAUCUCUGAGCAGAAACGGAUAAAUAGUACCUAUUUCGUCUUUUUCCCCAAAAAUAUUUUUGUUCCCGGAAAACUUUCAUUUUCGUCUUGAAAAUUCUUACUCGUUAAAUCUAGCUCGUAGCCAGAAUCCUCCCGACUUAUAAUCAUCCUAGGUUAUAGAACGACUAAUAAACACAUAGCACAGAAUAAUAUUAAUAAAAAUUUAUUUUAUUAAUAACUAAUUCUUUAAAUCUUAAUUUCUGGACAAUCCGAAUUUCCGGGUUGUCACAUCCUUCCCCCCUUAUAAAAAUUCCGUCCUCGGAAUUUCUUCAAACCAUACCCAUACCCGGGUUAUCACAUUCACCCCUUCUUCACAGAAUUUCGCCCUCGAAAUUUUAGCUUACUUUUCUUCUCAACUUCUCUUCAAAGAAGUUCUUAUCUUUUCAUCAUUCCUAACCUCCAUAACCUAUCAAGAAUCAUGAAGUAGAAGGAAUAGCGAGGAAUAUAAGAAUUCCUUUAAAACAUUUCAUACGUUUGCUGAGGGGUCAAAUUGACCAUGAACUCUUACUAGGUUUACCAACAUAACACCGUAACAUUUCUUUCCACGGUCAGUUUACAAUCACAAAGAAGGUAAACUACCUCUUCCAUACGUAGGUGAUCAACCCAUCGUAUAACCCCAUUUCGGAGUAUGUUCACCUCAGACUUACUCCUUAGAUUCCGCACCAAAACAAUUUGGUUUGGCAUAGCUCUUCAAAGAAAGCUCGAUUUUCUUUUAAUCAUGACAUACCAUUCGUCUUAGCCAAAACAAGUAGCUUAGACCAUACCAAUAAAUUGGACAUCAACUUGAAACAUUCGUCUAGUCAACUCAAUUGACAUCGACUACUUCUUUAAAUUCUUUCGCAAUACAUCAAAACUUUUUAUGACGUCAUGAUACCGCACUCUUCACAGUACGUUGAGGACUUCGUCAGUUUAUGACUUCGUCAUUAUACAUCAUCCCAUAGCAGGUUGUUGAUCCUAAGAUCAAAUCCAACACCAGGUUUAAUUGCAUUAAUAACUCCAUCCUUUUACCAUCUUUGCAUCAAAUAAACUGAUGAUAUAAAAUUCAUUUUGAUAUUUUAAACCAAUUUCUGUCUAGCUGAAAUAAUUAGCAUAGACAUACCAAGAAUAGUUCCUUAAAAAUCCAUUGUUUCCAAAAGCUGAACCAAUUCUUUCAUUUUCAAAAUGCGCACAUCAGCACGAUUUCAAGAAAUUUCGAAAUCUAGCAUAACUAGAUGACUUGGAAUAUCCUAUUCUCCAUCUUCCUUCAUUGUCUUACUUACGACAAUACUUAAUCUUCUCUAGCACCUCCAAUGCUAAGUCUACUGAAAAUACUUACUUUCAGUCUAAACAUUACUAUACCUUAGUAUAGUUCAUCAACUUACCACACUUUAUGUGUUUAGGAACUUUUCACAACCAUAUGUGUUUAAGAACUUAUCUUCGCAAUAUGUAAUCCAAGAACAAAUCAAGGACUAUCCAUAUGCUUAGGGAUCAGAAACAUAGCAUAUAACUAUGAGUCACAAACUUUUCAUAAGUAUGAGUUUCACAACCAUAUGUGUUUAAGAACUUAUCUUCGCAAUAUGUAAUCCAAGAACAAAUCAAGGACUAUCCAUAUGCUUAGGGAUCAGAAACAUAGCAUAUAACUAUGAGUCACAAACUUUUCAUAAGUAUGAGUUCAAGAACCCGCACCUAUCUUAUCAUUUUCUACCUAUCAAGUAUAUACAUGAGAAAAGAUUCACCUUCUCUUUAUAUACAUCUUGAUAGCGCGACCAAUUUUAAUGACUAUCACUGUAAUAAGCUGAGUGGUUGUUACACCAAGCACAAACCUCUGCCUAUACAAAGAUUCAUACAACUCAGCCAUUACAUGAGUCAUCAAUUGAAAUCUUACAACUUCUAACUUUCUCUUUACUUAAUACGAAUUUUCUUUAAUUCGUAUACUAUCCUUUACAACUCAAUUUGAGUUCUUCUUCCCGUACUACUUUGUAGUACCAUUCAUUCAUAGCAUUAGCUAUAAAUCAUUCAUCGUUUAACAGCUCAUCUGUUACUACGAUUUACUAUGAUCACGUGGUGAUCUUCUUAUCCUUCUCUUUACGAUUAUAGUCUUAGGUACUCAUACCUAAGGUUUAUAACCUAUCAGCUCUGAUACCAACCUGUAACGCCCCGAAAUCCGGUCUAUCUUCACACCCGAAUUCCGUACGUCACGAGUACAUCAUUCAUCCAACAUAAAUCAUUAUAUACUGAAAUAUAAUAACAUACAUUAUCAAAUCCCAGGUUCUGGAAACCUUAUAACCUUUCUCAUUACAAAUAAUGAUAAUUACAUUAUUCCUUUCAUCUUACAAGAGUGACUUUUAUCAGCCACCAAUGAUACAUUUAGUUCAUUAAACUAAUCUAUAGUUUAAUUUUCAUAUUUCUACAUUACAAGUCUUCACUUGAUCUUCUCACUCAUUCACAUUCUGAAUGGCACUUCAUCUGGAUACCGUCAGCUUGAUCUAUACGGGAUCCUUAAGUUCUUCUAACAUCGUUCGCUGAAAAUGUUUUUCAUUUAAAACAAGUGUGAGCAUUCAAAUUCCCAGCAAGUCAUAACAGUUGAGCAAACAACUUCAAGAAUUUAAACAUUCUUUUCAGACUUCAAUAACCGAACAAAGGUUACGAAGCAGCUUGAAUAAUAGGAAUAGUCUUGAUUCCUAUCAUCUUAAAACAUUAAUUACAUGCACUUUGAAAUACUUUCAUUCUCUACUAUCUUUCAUGCACAUUCUGUCUGGCUAGAAUCAAUAGCACAGACUUAGCAAUGACGGUUCAUGUAUAAACAGAACAUUCUUUUAUUGAACAGUUCAAACAUAGAACAAUUCAUCUCACAGAAACACCGAAGUGUUCACAUUGUGGCACACAGUCUCAUACAUUCUACCACCUUGUACAAAUAUUGCACAUUCGCACAUAGACAAAACUUCUCAAGUUCAACAUCUGAGAAGUUUAAGAAACUAGCAUUCAUUUGAAAUAUGAAUGAAGUUAGGAAACUUGCCUUACGCACAGCUACAGCUUACGCUGAACUGCUCAUUCUAAUCCCUAUAAUACAUAAUGAAAUAACAAAUACACCAAUUAGUCAUAUACUUGACUUACGCAUUGGUUUACUUAACUUUACUUCUUAAGGUUCGCGUUCUUGCAAUAUAAUUUUACGUGACUAACUUUCAUUACCCGUUUACGGUUUCAUGACAUACGGAGAUGUCUUACUCAACACGUUCAUCAUCUUUGAUGAUUCACAUUCUUAUCUUCUUCGUAUACUUCUUUAGGACUCGGUACACAUAGCUUCUCUGCUAGUAGUCCAUAUGGUACUCUGAGUGGUUUCCCACAAACAACCAACAAACAAGUUCCCGUCUCAUCUACACUUUCAUCACAGUGAGUUAGAUCGGUUGCCAGUUUCGUAUAUACCUUCGCUCUCUGAAGGAAUUGUUUAGCCCAGCUCCCAUAUGUCAACCAUCAAAGGUUACGAUUGUACCACAACCUAACUUUCUCUUAACUUAUACGAAUUAUUAAAUUAUAAUGUUCGUUAAGUUAAUUUCUUAUUCCUUUUGGCUUUCUGGCAAGUAAUUGCCAUACCUCAGGAUUCAUUCUUAUCCGAUUCACAUUCGGCUUUCAUUAAUCUCAUUACCGUUCGAUACGGCUUUCUUGAUACCAUUCGUAUCUUACUUACUACAUUCAUCAACGUCUAAGUCAUACAACCAGGGUAUACUUAGCACGUUCGUCAAACGCGAAUACGAUUCACGAGGAUCGUUUACGUAUUCAACGUUCACGUUGCUCGUCUCUUAAUCUCUCAUUCAACCUUUACUCAAGGUUUUAAUUGCUUUCGAUCGUUAUCCAUCCCAUGAACCCCAUGUUCAUUAUUCUUUCUUAAUGUCAAAGCCAUACGGUUCGCUGUAUGCUAAGACCGAUCGUUCAUCGCAACAACGUUGCGUUCACAGCGUCUAAACGCUUUACAUUCAUCUCUCAAUGCCAUGUCAUAACAUUAAAAUGUUAUACAUUAACAUCGUCAACCAACGUCUAAGGAAUCACAACCAUAGCAAUCCCUCACGUUCGUUUAUCGCGACUACGGUCCCCGGACAUCGGUUCCGUAACCCGCAUCUACAUUCUUUGUCUUUUAUUCUUGUUUAAUCUUUUCGUUCAACCUUUAUUAAAGGUUUAAAACACUUGAUUAAGUGUUACAUUAGUUGAACAUUAUGUUCAUAUUUCUUUCUUGCACAUCCUCUAGUAACUGAGAACUAAAAAUCUCACUUCUGGGCAUUACUUUGCACCGGCGUUGCGGCGCCGUGCCCUUCCUUUCCUCUCGCGCUUAGGCGCGACCUACUUCUCUCUCCUUUCUUCCCGGACUGGCGCAGCGGCGCGAGUCCUUACUUAGUGGGCCGCGCUGCGGCGCCACACUCCAGAAGAUUUUCGUACUGUACAUGGCGCUGCGGCGCCAGAAAUUGUACUACAGUUCGCGCUGCGACGAACUCUUGUAGUGUACUCGGACAUUGUUACGCGCUACGGCGUCGGCCUCCAAGGCACAACUCGUGCUGCGGCACCGAGUAUGAAACCUAGAAAAUUUUCUAAGUCUUUUACAAGCUUGAGACGCCGAUUUCGAAAUCUCAUAACUUCUUCGUUAUAACUUGGAACGAGGUCGUUCCAAAGCCAUUUUCUUCCUUAUCUUACGUACUUCGAUUACCCUUGGACAGAACUUUGUUCUGAAUCCGUUAACAUGCCAUUCAAUUGGCUUAAUCUUCAUUCUUCGUUCAUUUUAACAUUUUUAACGUUCUUUGUUCGUUCGUUCGUAAUUCGGUCAUCCGAACUCGGAAUUCAUUCGUUCUUGAGUCCACGACUCACGUUUUAUACGUUCUCUUACAUUCUUAUGAAACCCUGUACGUUCGGGUUCAUUUACUAACUUUCAAAUUUUUGUUCUUCUUUUACAAAAAUUUUGCCAUAACUUCGUUAUAGCUUAGUUUUAAUCCGUCCUUCAUGAACGUUUCUACCGUUCCUAACCAAGCAAUAAGCAACUAACUUAUACGCGAUGGUUUUAAACUUGUCCAUCAACAACAAUUAUACUACGAUGGUUUUAAAUUUGUCCAUCAACAACGUUCUUCGUGUUCUUCNNNNNNNNNNNNNNNNNNNNNNNNNNNNNNNNNNNNNNNNNNNNNNNNNNNNNNNNNNNNNNNNNNNNNNNNNNNNNNNNNNNNNNNNNNNNNNNNNNNNGCUAGCUUUUCUAUUUCACGAUCACUUUUGAUCCGAGCAUUCAUGCUCACGCUCUUCCUCUUCCUCUCCCAACCGAGCUCUCUCUAUCUCUCUCAAGUGUAGGAUUUUCAAAAAUCCUAGAAAAUGAAAUUCUAGGUUUCUAUUUAUAGAAAACCAAAGCUAGGGGCAAAAUUCUAGGUUUCUAUUUAUAGUCAUUUUGCCCCUAAAGUUACUAUUCCCACAUCCUGUUCAACUUAGCCACCAAGUUAACUUGGCCACCACCCUUACUUGGUGGCCAAGUGGCCGGCCCACAUUCCCUAUGGGUUGCCCCAAUGGUUUUUACCCAUCCGUUUACCCAUCGGUUCGAUCCGCGGUUUCUUUUCUUGGUUUGGGCCUUAACCCUAAUUCUUAUUGGGCCUAACUUGGGCUUAAUUUCACAAAUCAUUGGGCUUGACAUAAUCCAAGUCCAAUUGGAUUCUACAAAGUCCAUUAAGACUAAUCGCAUUCUACGCAUUCCAUUCUCGUAUUCUCGUAUUCUCUUCGUAUUUAACUCGUACGAUGUUCGUAUUAUACGCCGUACUAUUCUUCUUUCUAUACUCGUAUAAUAACUCGUAUCAUACUCGUAUUUCUCAAGCAUAAUAACCUUAGUUAUUAUACGUACUCAUUACACUCGCGGAACUCACUUUUCCUAACCCUUAGGUUUUGAGUCCGCAGGCGAAAACUUCGUUUUUGCCAUAACUGAAAUAUUAUUGAAUAUUCCAUCACGUCUCAACAUUUUACGUAAUCAAUAACUUCUCAGAAUUUCAAAAUAAAUCUCCGAGCAGAAACGGACGAAUAGUGCCUAUUUCGUCUUUUUCCCCGAAAAUAUUUUUGUUCCCGAAAAACUUUCAUUUUCGUCUUGAAAAUUCUUACUCGUUAAAUCUAGCUCGUAGCCAGAAUCCUCCCGACUUAUAAUCAUCCUAGGUUAUAGAACGACUAAUAAACACAUAGCACAUAAUAGUAUUAAUAAAAAUUCAUUUUAUUAAUAACUAAUUCUUUAAAUAUUAAUUUCUGGACAAUCCGGAUUUUCGGGUUGUCACAUAAGCCUUCAAAAUGUCAGAGUUGUUCUUCAUUUUCUGGAAUUUCCAAAAAAUAAUAAUAGUGUGAGGGUCCUACUUUGGAUCUUAAUAACUUGGAUUUUGGGCUUUGAUUGUGUUUUUAAGUGUAAC